UAGAUACUCCCUCCGGAAUUACUUGUCAUAAAAAUAAAUGUAUCUAGACGUAUUUUAAAUCUAGAUACAUCCAUUUCUUUUUAUUUUGACGACACGUAAUUCCAGACGGAGGGGUACUUG
rfam:Hordeum vulgare subsp. vulgare, WGS project CAJW01000000 data, contig: morex_contig_2551169